GGCAAAGUGCAUGGUGAACACACCAGGGACAUUUCUCAUUUAUUGAUAGUUAAUUAUGCUUUGGCUUAUGGUCAUUUACGGUAAACCCUUUGCUAUUUCCUUGUACGAUAUAAACAACAUAUUCUAAGUGUCAUAAUCUCGGCGCACAAUUGAGGCUGUGUCUUACUAGCUACUACAAGUAUGGCUUUCCAUAUUCAUAUUCGUGAGGAUGUGGACAAAAGAGAGAUUGAGAUCACUGGGAAUACCAAUGAUGCCAUGGGAUAUGCUGAGACUUUGCUACAGACCUACCCAUUUCAUAAAACCAUGAAAG